CCUUGUGCGACUGAUGACAGCGCAGCUGCUGAGACUCCGUGAUUGCUCAGUCUCAAAGUAAACGCUCUGACGCACUGCCC
ensembl:snoRNA SNORD105B small nucleolar RNA, C/D box 105B